UUUGUCCAGGUACUCACUCACCAAUUAGUUUGUACAUGAUCGGGAUUGUAGGUAAUUUAGAAUUAAUUGCUUUUCUCUGUCCAUGGAUCUUAUAGGAAUUAUUGCCGUGCGGCCACGGUGGAUCAGAAGCAUCUGACCGCACUGAUUUCCCUAGAUGGGGUGACGGUCUCAAUGGAAAUCUGCCGGUGUAAAGUUACACCGGGACACACAGCCACAGCAGCCACACGCAGACGCGGUGAUGCAUCCGAAUGCACCAUAGCACACAUGCAUGCGUUGAUGCAGUGGCCACGAACCAGGUCGGACGAUAUCGCGCUCAUGCAGUAUAGAGCCAGAUCCUAUAGCCCGCUAUUGGGGAACCCGUCCGAUUGUCCUCUGAGUGCUUGACUAUCACCUACAACUGCGAAGCGAAUUUGAACAAGCUGAGCUGGUGUAGAACACAUCCAUCGAUCAAUGGUUGCUAGCUCAAUGAUGGAUCACAUAUGUACAGAAUGCCUACUUUUAUAUUGAAUGUCUCAACGAGAUGUAACCCUUGCUACUUCCAGAAAAAAAGUAUAUAAACUUCA